CAGCUCUCCUUUCAUUUGUGGAAGGCGAGCAUUGAGACUUGCAUCUUGACUCAGCAGCCUCAUAGAAUCAUAGAAUGGCCUGGGUUGAAAAGGACCACGAUGAUCAUUGAGUUCCAACCCCCUGCUAUGUGCAGGGUCACCAACCACCAGACCAGGCUGCCCAGAGCCACAUUCACCCUGGCCUUGAAUGCCUCCAGGGAUGGGGCAUCCACAGCCUCCUUGGGCAACCUGUUCCAAUGCGUCACCACCCUCUGGGUGAAAAACUUCCUCCUAAUAUCCAACCUAAACCUCCCCUGUCUCAGUUUAAAACCAUUCCCCCUUGUCCUGUCACUAUCCACCCUUGUAAACAGCCAUUCCCCCUCCUGUUUAUACGCUCCCUUCAAGUAUUGGAAGGCCACAAUGAGGCCUCGUUGGAGCCUUCUCUUCUCUAAGCUAAACAAGCCCAGUUCCCUCAACCUUUCUUCAUUGGAGACUUCUACAGCUCUCAUGACUUUUGCCUUCCGCACUCCUCUGCAGCAUCCCAUGUCCUGUCCCAUACGUAGGACCAUUGCUGGAGUUACACAAUGAUCACGGAUUUGUCCCACUGCCAUUCCACCACAUGCACUACAUUCUCUCCUAAAUAUCUGUGCCCAGAAAUGAGGCUCUGUUUGUCUGUGGUGCCUGCAAGCUGUCCCAUGUUUUGCAUUGAGCUCUGGGUGCU
rnacentral:lncRNA from 1 species